rnacentral:rRNA from 1 species
UACAGGCUUAACACAUGCAAGUCGAGGGGAAACGAUAGAGAAAGCUUGCUUUUUCUAGGCGUCGACCGGCGCACGGGUGAGUAACGCGUAUCCAACCUGCCCAUCACUUGGGGAUAACCUUGCGAAAGUAAGACUAAUACCCAAUGAGGUCUCUAGAAGACAUCUGAAAGAGAUUAAAGAUUUAUCGGUGAUGGAUGGGGAUGCGUCUGAUUAGCUUGUUGGCGGGGUAACGGCCCACCAAGGCGACGAUCAGUAGGGGUUCUGAGAGGAAGGUCCCCCACAUUGGAACUGAGACACGGUCCAAACUCCUACGGGAGGCAGCAGUGAGGAAUAUUGGUCAAUGGGCGAGAGCCUGAACCAGCCAAGUAGCGUGCAGGAUGACGGCCCUAUGGGUUGUAAACUGCUUUUAUAAGGGAAUAAAGUGGGAGUCGUGACUCCUUUUGCAUGUACCUUAUGAAUAAGGACCGGCUAAUUCCGUGCCAGCAGCCGCGGUAAUACGGAAGGUCCGGGCGUUAUCCGGAUUUAUUGGGUUUAAAGGGAGCGUAGGCCGGAGAUUAAGCGUGUUGUGAAAUGUAGACGCUCAACGUCUGCACUGCAGCGCGAACUGGUUUCCUUGAGUACGCACAAAGUGGGCGGAAUUCGUGGUGUAGCGGUGAAAUGCUUAGAUAUCACGAAGAACUCCGAUUGCGAAGGCAGCUCACUGGAGCGCAACUGACGCUGAAGCUCGAAAGUGCGGGUAUCGAACAGGAUUAGAUACCCUGGUAGUCCGCACGGUAAACGAUGGAUGCCCGCUGUUGGUCUGAAUAGGUCAGCGGCCAAGCGAAAGCAUUAAGCAUCCCACCUGGGGAGUACGCCGGCAACGGUGAAACUCAAAGGAAUUGACG